rnacentral:rRNA from 1 species
AUGGUUUCCGCCGACGUGGCCCGCAACAUCGUCGGCAUCAUCGGCAAUGUCAUCUCCUUCGGUCUCUUCCUCUCCCCUGUGCCGACGUUCUGGCGGAUCUACAAGGCCAAGGACGUGGAGGAGUUCAAACCGGACCCCUACCUGGCGACGCUCAUGAACUGCCUGCUCUGGUUCUUUUACGGGCUCCCCAUCGUCCACCCCAACAGCACCCUCGUCCUCACCAUCAACGGCAUCGGCCUUGUCAUUGAGGGCGCCUACAUCAUCAUCUUCAUCAUCUAUGCGGCUAAGAACACAAGGUGGAAGAUGCUGGGCGUGCUCGCCCUCGAGGCGGCGUUCGUGGCUGCCGUGGUGGCCGGCGUGCUCCUCGGUGCCCACACCCAUGAGAAGCGCUCCAUGAUCGUAGGCAUCCUCUGCGUCAUCUUCGGCUCCAUCAUGUACGCCUCCCCGCUCACCAUCAUGGUACGUACACCACCCCAACUUAAGGGUCGUCGACCCGUGAUCUUUGAUAACCGCUUUAACUUGUUAGUUCAGGUUGGCUAA